UGGGGAAUCUUGGACAAUGGGCGCAAGCCUGAUCCAGCCAUGCCGCGUGGAUGAUGAAGGCCUUAGGGUUGUAAAAUCCUUUCGCCGAGGACGAUAAUGACGGUACUCGGAGAAGAAGCUCCGGCUAACUUCGUGCCAGCAGCCGCGGUAAUACGAAGGGGGCUAGCGUUGUUCGGAUUUACUGGGCGUAAAGCGCGUGUAGGCGGGCUGGAAAGUUGGGGGUGAAAUCCCGAGGCUCAACCUCGGAACUGCCUCCAAAACUUCCAGCCUGGACUCAAGUAGAGGCAAGUGGAAUUGCGAGUGUAGAGGUGAAAUUCGUAGAUAUUCGCAGGAACACCAGUGGCGAAGGCGACUUGCUGGACUUGUAGUGACGCUGAGACGCGAAAGCGUGGGGAGCAAACAGGAUUAGAUACCCCAGUAGUCCCUGAGCGGGCUGGCAAGGCGCAU
rnacentral:rRNA from 1 species